rnacentral:rRNA from 1 species
UGGGGAAUAUUGCGCAAUGGGCGCAAGCCUGACGCAGCGACGCCGCGUGGGGGAUGACGGCCUUCGGGUUGUAAACCCCUUUCACCAUCGACCAAGCCCUGCGUUUCUGCGCGGGGUGAGUGUAGGUGGGGAAGAAGCACCGGCUAACUACGUGCCAGCAGCCGCGGUAAUACGUAGGGUGCUAGCGUUGUCCGGAUUUAUUGGGCGUAAAGGGCUCGUAGGCGGCUUGUCGCGUCGGGAGUGAAAGCCCGCUGCUUAACGGCGGGUUUGCUUUCGGUACGGGCUGGCUGGAGUGCGGCAGGGGAGACUGGAAUUCCUGGUGUAGCGGUGGAAUGCGCAGAUAUCAGGAGGAACACCGGUGGCGAAGGCGGGUCUCUGGGCCGUUACUGACGCUGAGGAGCGAAAGCGUGGGGAGCGAACAGGAUUAGAUACCCCCGUAGUCC